UACGUAGGGGGCUAGCGUUGUCCGGAAUCAUUGGGCGUAAAGCGCGUGUAGGCGGCCCGGUAAGUCCGCUGUGAAAGUCGGGGGCUCAACCCUCGGAUGCCGGUGGAUACUGUCGGGCUUGAGUGCGGAAGAGGCGAGUGGAAUUCCUGGUGUAGCGGUGAAAUGCGUAGAGAUCAUGAGGAAGACCAGUGGCGAAGGCGGGUCUCUGGACAGUUCCUGACACUGAGACACGAAGGCCAGGGGAGCAAACGGG
rnacentral:rRNA from 1 species